rnacentral:rRNA from 2 species
UAGAGUUUGAUCCUGGCUCAGAUUGAACGCUGGCGGCAUGCCUAACACAUGCAAGUCGAACGGUAACAGGAGAGAGCUUGCUCUCUUGCUGACGAGUGGCGGACGGGUGAGUAAUGCAUAGGAAUCUGCCCAGUAGUGGGGGACAACUCGGGGAAACUCGAGCUAAUACCGCAUACGCCCUACGGGGGAAAGCGGGGGAUCUUCGGACCUCGCGCUAUUGGAUGAGCCUAUGUCAGAUUAGCUUGUUGGUAGGGUAAUGGCCUACCAAGGCAACGAUCUGUAGCUGGUCUGAGAGGACGAUCAGCCACACUGGGACUGAGACACGGCCCAGACUCCUACGGGAGGCAGCAGUGGGGAAUAUUGGACAAUGGGGGCAACCCUGAUCCAGCAAUGCCGCGUGUGUGAAGAAGGCCUGCGGGUUGUAAAGCACUUUCAGUGGGGAAGAAAAGCCCAAGAUUAAUACCCUUGGGUCUUGACGUUACCCACAGAAGAAGCACCGGCUAACUCCGUGCCAGCAGCCGCGGUAAUACGGAGGGUGCAAGCGUUAAUCGGAAUUACUGGGCGUAAAGCGCGCGUAGGCGGCUUGAUAAGUCGGAUGUGAAAUCCCCGGGCUUAACCUGGGAAUUGCAUUCGAUACUGUCAGGCUAGAGUGUGGUAGAGGGAAGUGGAAUUUCCCGGUGUAGCGGUAAAAUGCGUAGAUAUCGGAAAGAACACCAGUGGCGAAGGCGGCUUCCUGGACCAACACUGACGCUGAGGUGCGAAAGCGUGGGGAGCAAACAGGAUUAGAUACCCUGGUAGUCCACGCCCCUAAACGAUGGAUGCUAGUCGUUGCGGCGCACGUCGUCGCAGUGAUGCAGCUAACGCAUUAAGCAUCCCGCCUGGGGAGUACGGUCGCAAGAUUAAAACUCAAAGGAAUAGACGGGGACCCGCACAAGUGGUGGAGCAUGUGGUUUAAUUCGAAGAUACGCGAAGAACCUUACCCGGCCUUGACAUCCCAGGAACCCUGCAGAGAUGCGGGGGUGCUACUUCGGUAGAGCCUGGUGACAGGUGCUGCACGGCUGUCGUCAGCUCGUGUCGUGAGAUGUUGGGUUAAGUCCCGCAACGAGCGCAACCCUCGUGUCCAGUUGCUAACGGUUCGGCCGAGAACUCUGGACAGACUGCCUGGGCAACCAGGAGGAAGGUGAGGACGACGUCAAGUCAUCAUGGCCCUUACGGCCGGGGCGACACACGUGCUACAAUGGGCAGGACAAUGAGACGCGAUACCGCGAGGUGGAGCAAAUCUAUAAACCUGCUCUCAGUUCGGAUUGCAGUCUGCAACUCGACUGCAUGAAGCUGGAAUCACUAGUAAUCGUGGAUCAGCCAUGCCACGGUGAAUACGUUCCCGGGUCUUGUACUCACCGCCCGUCACACCAUGGGAGUCGGUUGUUCCAGAAGCAGUUGAGCCAACCUUCGGGGGGCAGGCUGCCAAGGAAUGGCUGGUAACUGGGGUGAAGUCGUAACAAGGUAACCA